rnacentral:rRNA from 1 species
GACGAACGCUGGCGGCGUGCCUAAUACAUGCAAGUCGAACGCAGUGGCGGACGGGGGAGUAACACGUGGGUAACCUACCCAGCAGAGGGGGAUAACACGUGGAAACAGGUGCUAAUACCGGAUAGUGUGGGAUGGGCCCGCGGCCUAUCAGCUUGUUGGUGGGGUAAUGGCCGACCAAGGCGGCGACGGGUAGCCGGCCUGGGAGGGUGGACGGCCACCUUAGGACUGCGGCACGGACCAGACUCCUACGGGGGGCAGCAGUGGGGAAUAUUGCACAAUCGGCGGAAGCCUGAUGCAGCGACGCCGCGUGGGGGAUGACGGCCUUCGGGUUAUAAACGCCUUUCACCUUCGACGCGGUAGCUGGAGAAGAAGCACCGGCUAACUACGUGCCAGCAGCCGCGGUAAUAC